rnacentral:rRNA from 1 species
GACGAACGCUGGCGGCGUGCUUAACACAUGCAAGUCGAACGGAAAGGCCCUGCUUUUGUGGGGUGCUCGAGUGGCGAACGGGUGAGUAACACGUGAGUAACCUGCCCUUGACUUUGGGAUAACUUCAGGAAACUGGGGCUAAUACCGGAUAGGAGCUCCUGCUGCAUGGUGGGGGUUGGAAAGUUUCGGCGGUUGGGGAUGGACUCGCGGCUUAUCAGCUUGUUGGUGGGGUAGUGGCUAACCAAGGCUUUGACGGGUAGCCGGCCUGAGAGGGUGACCGGCCACAUUGGGACUGAGAUACGGCCCAGACUCCUACGGGAGGCAGCAGUGGGGAAUAUUGCACAAUGGGCGGAAGCCUGAUGCAGCAACGCCGCGUGCGGGAUGACGGCCUUCGGGUUGUAAACCGCUUUCGCCUGUGACGAAGCGUGAGUGACGGUAAUGGGUAAAGAAGCACCGGCUAACUACGUG